UUAAGAUCAAAAGGUACCAGAGGUACCCCAAAGUUACACAAUGAAAGAGGUAAUCUCUUGCGAGAACCAAGCUGAAAAGGAAGGCUCCUGGCCAAACAAAUUAAAGAGUUUAUUCCAGCUCCACAUGCGUGUCUUGAUUUUGACGACCGUUUUUUGAACAGCGGGCUGCUCACCUUCGAACCUGCAUGCGUUGCGGUCUCUCCAGAUUUGCCAGACUGUACAAGUCCAAAGUGACGUCAAGAACCUCCUACCCUUCUUCUCCUUGCAGAGGUUAGUGAACGAGAGAAAGUGAGAGCUAACGAGGUUUGGGCGAACCGUACUUCUCCCGAUCCACUUUUGAAUCUCAUCCCAGACUCUAUCGGCUUUAGAAC
rnacentral:lncRNA from 1 species